rnacentral:rRNA from 1 species
UACGUAGGGCGCAAGCGUUGUCCGGAAUUAUUGGGCGUAAAGAGCUCGUAGGCGGUUUGUCGCGUCGACUGUGAAAACCCGCGGCUCAACUGCGGGCCUGCAGUCGAUACGGGCAGGCUAGAGUUCGGUAGGGGAGACUGGAAUUCCUGGUGUAGCGGUGAAAUGCGCAGAUAUCAGGAGGAACACCGGUGGCGAAGGCGGGUCUCUGGGCCGAUACUGACGCUGAGGAGCGAAAGCGUGGGGAGCGAACAGG